CAAUAGCGUAUAUUAAAGUUGUUGCAGUUAAAAAGCUCGUAGUUGGAUUUCGGGGCAGCCUGGCUGGUCCGCCGCAAGGCGAGUACUGGUCAGCCGCCCUUCCUCUCGAAAGCCCCGACUGCUCUUUAUUGCAGUGGUCGGGUAGUUCGGGACGUUUACUUUGAAAAAAUUAGAGUGUUCAAGGCAGGCCUACGCCUGAAUACAUUAGCAUGGAAUAAUGGAAGAGGACCUCGGUCCUAUUUUGUUGGUUUCCAGGACCGAAGUAAUGAUUAAGAGGGACAGUUGGGGGCAUUCGUAUUUAAUUGUCAGAGGUGAAAUUCUCGGAUUUAUGAAAGACUAACAACUGCGAAAGCAUUUGCCAAGGAUGUUUUCAUUAA
rnacentral:rRNA from 1 species